rnacentral:rRNA from 1 species
AAAUUGAAGAGUUUGAUCAUGGCUCAGAUUGAACGCUGGCGGCAGGCCUAACACAUGCAAGUCGAACGGUAACAGGAAUCAGCUUGCUGAUUCGCUGACGAGUGGCGGACGGGUGAGUAAUGUCUGGGAAACUGCCUGAUGGAGGGGGAUAACUACUGGAAACGGUAGCUAAUACCGCAUAACGUCGCAAGACCAAAGAGGGGGACCUUCGGGCCUCUUGCCA